AAAUUAGUAUAAGUAUAUCCCAUGCAACAUUUGGAAUAUACUUAUACUAAAA
rfam:Ovis aries breed Texel chromosome 1, whole genome shotgun sequence.